UACGAAGGGGGCUAGCGUUGCUCGGAAUCACUGGGCAUAAAGCGCACGUAGGCGGCUUUCUAAGUCAGGGGUGAAAUCCUGGAGCUCAACUCCAGAACUGCCUUUGAUACUGGAGAGCUUGAGUCCGGGAGAGGUGAGUGGAACUCCGAGUGUAGAGGUGAAAUUCGUAGAUAUUCGGAAGAACACCAGUGGCGAAGGCGGCUCACUGGCCCGGUACUGACGCUGAUGUGCGAAAGCGUGGGGAGCAAACAGG
rnacentral:rRNA from 1 species